rnacentral:tRNA from 1 species
GGUCGCUUAGCUCAGUUGGUUAGAGCAUCUGCUUUACAUAUAACAGCACCGCAGAAGGCCGCAGGUUCGAGCCCUGCAGCGAUCA